AUCCGCGCGUCUGCCGCUCGAUUUGUUUGCCCAGCCCUUACGCCAGGUCGCUCGUCGAGUGGAGUCGUCCGGUCGUCGCUUAACGUCGUCCAGCCACGUGCCUCGCUCCCUUCUCAGCCUUUAUGAGGCCAUUCGAUACCCUAGCUAGCCGUCCACAUUCAGCCAUCGAAGUUUUUGUCGCCGUCGAAGCCUCGACCAUCGCUUGAGUUCACUCGUCGCCAUUGCGUGAUCUCAAGGGAAUCUUGGAUUUAGAUUGGAGUUGAAAAUUGUUGAAGCGACCAUCCACCAGAUUCAAGGUUGUUCGACAGGUGUUUUGUAUAAGAUUCAAGACUUGAGACGUUUAGGGUAUUGCUCAUCAAAGUAAAGGCCAAUUAUCUUUUGAAGUUUGGUAAGUUUGGAGUAAGUUGUUGGGUGGUUAUUUUGAAUUAAGAUUAAUUCUGGAGAAUUAAGGUAUUAAUUUUGAACUUUGUAUAUGUUCAGGUAACCAACAGAAGUGGGUUUUGGAAUUAAGUUUAGACCGAGCUAUAGUUUAAGUGAAGUAAAAUUGGAGGUCUUUGAAUAAUUUGGUUAAUUGGAGUUAGACCCAAAAUAUUGAUUUAAAUAUUGGAUUUAUCUUAAGUGUUGCUUGUCUUGAAAAGGAUAAGCUUGCUUGGGCUUCUUUGGAUUUAAUUUCAAGGUAAGUAAUCUUACCACUGGAACUGCCCACGAGCUUGGUUUUAGUUGCAUGCUAGCAUGAUAAGUUUAUGUUAUGGUAAAUGUUAGCAUGUUGAUUGACAGUAUGACCUGAAUCAAAGUAUG